GGGGAAUUUUCAGCAAUGGGCGAAAGCCUGACGGAGCAAGACCGCGUGGGGGAGGAAGGCUCUAGGGUUGUAAACCCCUUUUCUUUGGGAAGAACAAAAUGACGGUACCAAAGGAAUCAGCCUCGGCUAACUCCGUGCCAGCAGCCGCGGUAAUACGGAGGAGGCAAGCGUUAUCCGGAAUGAUUGGGCGUAAAGCGUCCGCAGGUGGCCAUGUAAGUCUGCUGUCAAAACCCAGGGCUCAACUCUGGUCAGGCAGUGGAAACUACAAAGCUAGAGUCUGGUAGGGGCAAAGGGAAUUCCCGGCGUAGCGGUGAAAUGCGUAGAUUUCGGGAAGAACAUCGGUGGCGAAAGCGCUUUGCUAGACCAGAACUGACACUCAGGGACGAAAGCUAGGG
rnacentral:rRNA from 1 species